GUUCAGGUAGCUCAGCAGGUUAGAGCAAAGGACUGAAAAUCCUUGUGUCAGUGGUUCGAAUCCACUUCUGAGCG
rnacentral:tRNA from 1 species